rnacentral:rRNA from 1 species
AGAGUUUGAUCAUGGCUCAGAAUGAACGCUGGCGGCAUGCCUAACACAUGCAAGUCGAAUGAGAUCUUCGGAUCUAGUGGCGCACGGGUGAGUAACGCGUGGGAACCUACCUUUUAGUACGGGACAACGUUUGGAAACGAACGCUAAUACCGUAUACGCCCUCCGGGGGAAAGGUCAGCCGCUAAAAGAGGGGCCCGCGUCUGAUUAGCUUGUUGGUAAGGUAAUGGCUUACCAAGGCUACGAUCAGUAGCUGGUCUGAGAGGAUGAUCAGCCACACUGGGACUGAGACACGGCCCAGACUCCUACGGGAGGCAGCAGUGGGGAAUAUUGGACAAUGGAGGCAACUCUGAUCCAGCAAUGCCGCGUGUGUGAUGAAGGCCUUAGGGUUGUAAAGCACUUUCAACGGUGAAGAUGAUGACGGUAGCCGUAGAAGAAGCCCCGGCUAACUUCGUGCCAGCAGCCGCGGUAAUACGAAGGGGGCGAGCGUUAUUCGGAAUUAUUGGGCGUAAAGGGCUCGCAGGCUGCUUGAACAGUUAGACGUGAAAUCCCCGGGCUCAACCUGGGAACUGCGUUUAAUACUAGCAAGCUAGAGAAAUAGAGAGGAAAGUGGAACUCCCAGUGUAGAGGUGAAAUUCGUAGAUAUUGGGAAGAACACCAGUGGCGAAAGCGACUUUCUGGCUAUUUUCUGACGCUGAGGAGCGAAAGCGUGGGGAGCAAACAGGAUUAGAUACCCUGGUAGUCCACGCCGUAAACGAUGUGUGCUAGAUGUUGGAGGGAUACCUUUCAGUGUCGCAGCUAACGCACUAAGCACACCGCCUGGGAAGUACGGUCGCAAGAUUAAAACUCAAAGGAAUUGACGGGGGCCCGCCACAAGCGGUGGAGCAUGUGGUUUAAUUCGACGCAACGCGCAGAACCUUACCAGCCCUUGACAUGUGGAGUUUGGUUAUCAGAGAUGAUUUCCUUCAGUUCGGCUGGCUCCAACACAGGUGCUGCAUGGCUGUCGUCAGCUCGUGUCGUGAGAUGUUGGGUUAAGUCCCGCAACGAGCGCAACCCUCAUCUUUAGUUGCCAUCAGUUCGGCUGGGCACUCUAGAGAAACUGCCUGGGAUGACCAGGAGGAAGGCGAGGAUGACGUCAAGUCCUCAUGGCCCUUAUGGGCUGGGCUACACACGUGCUACAAUGGCGGUGACAAAGGGACGCAAUAGGGCAACCUGGAGCAAAUCCCUAAAAACCGUCUCAGUUCGGAUUGUUCUCUGCAACUCGAGAGCAUGAAGUUGGAAUCGCUAGUAAUCGUAGAUCAGCAUGCUACGGUGAAUACGUUCCCGGGCCUUGUACACACCGCCCGUCACACCAUGGGAGUUGGUUUUACCCGAAGACGGUAUCCUAACCUUUUAGGAGGGAGCCGGCCACGGUAGGGUCAGCGACUGGGGUGAAGUCGUAACAAGGUA